UCGUUGUGAGUUCAAGACCAGCCUGGGCUACAAAGUGAGCUCAAGUUGACAGUUGAAUCCAAGAAUGCAGAGCCAGCGGAUACAGCGAACCAAGGGAAGAGCGGGAGAACCCGGCGGCGGCGCUCCUGUGCGGGGUCUGCAUCGCACGCGAAGCCCGCGCUCCCGCCCAGCCCUUCCUCUUAUUCCCACAGGGACGUGGCUGAAAUGAGCAGAGGAGCAGGAACAGUGCUGCACACUGAUUUAGGAAAGCGUGGGAUGGAAAUGUUUCUUUUUACUGCAUAAGGCAAUGCUUUAACAUUUUAAAUAAUGUUAAUAAUUUAAAAUGUUUUGGGUAAGCCAGCCUUAUAAUUUGUUUCACACGUUAAGAAUCCUAUCCCAGCUUGAUUUUAAGAAAAUCUUCCCACAAUGUACUUUUGGUAUAUUAAGUUUAUCUUCAUAAAUGUUGAGUCGAUAAAGGGAAAUAAGCAGAAGUAAGAAA